UCAAAGGCAAAUAACACAACACAAACUAGCGUCACUAGCCCAAACUACUUCUCGAUGUUCGAAAGUACCAAUCUUACACGAGUCAAACCAUGUCCUUUCCUCCUCUAGGGUUUCCGCAACCCCAACAAGCUUUCUCAAUGGACCUCCAAAACGACGCCGUUUCCAAACCCAUUGCAGUCAUCGCUUGCAUUGCAUUGGCCUUGCUCUACGUCGCAACCUUAUACGCUCCGACCUUCCUUCUCCGUCUCCCACCUCCUUCUUCUUACACCAAUUUCAUGAUCCGACGAUUCCUAUGCGCCGUUGUUUCAACCACUCUCUCCCUCUUCAUCACUCCUUUUGUUCUUCCCGUACAAACUAGGGACUUCGCAUGCAUUUUGGGUGUUUAUGGAGUCCGAAUAGAUCACAUGUGGCAGGCUUUGGUCCUUCCUCUUGCUUUGACCUCUCUAAUGUAUGCUGGGUCUUUGUUCCUCAAGUCUCUUCUCCUGUUUGAUUUUUGGAGGCAAUAUGCAUUUUUUGGCGGCGGGCUUUCCUUUGAUUCCUUCAAAUGUGCCUUGGCGAGAUUUAUUGACUGGUUGUCUGCAAUUUCAUCUAAUGUUUUGACAUGGCGAAACUAUGUUGUGGCACCCCUUACCGAAGAGUUGGUGUUUAGAGCGUGCAUGAUACCUAUACUUCUCUGUGGAGGGUUUAAACCAUACAGUGCCAUGAUUCUAUGCCCUGUUUUCUUCAGCUUAGCUCAUUUAAAUCAUUUCAUGGAGAUAUACACCAAACAAAACUACAGAAUAAUGCAGGCUGCUAUGGUUAUAGGACUCCAGCUUGGUUACACUGUUAUCUUUGGAUCAUUUGCUUCUUUUCUUUUUAUUCGAACAGGUAUGUGAUGCUUGAUUGGUGGUUAUGGGUACGAUACAUAUAUGGUCUGACUGCUAUUAAAUUCUGACAGAACGACAUCUCGCUGCUCCAAUAGUUGCUCAUAUAUUUUGUAAUUUUAUGGGCCUGCCUGUGUUGUAUUCGCCGAGAAGCGGGAUCGUAAGUUUAGCAUCCAUAAUGGGACUUGUGGGUUUCUUAUGGCUUCUUUUCCCAAUCACAGGCCCAGGUUUGUAUAAUGAUAGAAUAGAUAAUUGCAGUUGUUGGCAAGGAUACUGCUCGUGGAGAGAACAAAUUCGAAUAUCUUACAUGUAAAUUAUGCUACCAUGUAAAAUAAUAUUUACUCAUUCCAGGUUUAACAUAGAAUUUCAGAUUCAGGUUUUAUUAUAAAGCUCA